rnacentral:tRNA from 1 species
AGGCUUGUAGCUCAGGUGGUUAGAGCGCACCCCUGCUAAGGGUGAGGUCGGUGGUUCAAGUCCACUCAGGCCUACCA